rnacentral:rRNA from 1 species
UGCGGAGGGAUCAUUUCCAAAUAUGAAGGCGGGCUGGAUCCUCUCGGGGUUACAGCCUUGCUGAAUUAUUCACCCUUGUCUUUUGCGUACUUCUUGUUUCCUUGGUGGGUUCGCCCACCACUAGGACAAACAUAAACCUUUUGUAAUUGCAAUCAGCGUCAGUAACAAAUUAAUAAUUACAACUUUCAACAACGGAUCUCUUGGUUCUGGCAUCGAUGAAGAACGCAGCGAAAUGCGAUAAGUAGUGUGAAUUGCAGAAUUCAGUGAAUCAUCGAAUCUUUGAACGCACAUUGCGCCCUUUGGUAUUCCAAAGGGCAUGCCUGUUCGAGCGUCAUUUGCACCCUCAAGCUUUGCUUGGUGUUGGGCGUCUUGUCUCUAGCUUUGCUGGAGACUCGCCUUAAAGUAAUUGGCAGCCGGCCUACUGGUUUCGGAGCGCAGCACAAGUCGCACUCUCUAUCAGCAAAGGUCUAGCAUCCAUUAAGCCUUUUUUCAACUUUUGACCUCGGAUCAGGGAGGGGAUACCCGCUGAACUUAACAUAUCAUGAAGCGGGAGGAAA